rnacentral:rRNA from 1 species
GUGAGGAAUAUUGGUCAAUGGGCGAAAGCCUGAACCAGCCAUGUCGCGUGAAGGAUGAAGGUCCUAUGGAUUGUAAACUUCUUUUGCUGGAGGGUAAAGUGAGCUACGUGUAGUUCAUUGCAAGUACUCUGCGAAUAAGCAUCGGCUCACUCCGUGCCAGCAGCCGCGGUAAUACGGAGGAUGCGAGCGUUACCCGGAUUUAUUGGGUUUAAAGGGUGCGUAGGCGGAGUAAUUAGUCAGCGGUGAAAUUUUGCGGCUCAACCGUACAACUGCCGUUGAAACUGUUAGUCUUGAGUGCGGUAGAGGUAGGCGGAAUGUGUGGUGUAGCGGUGAAAUGCUUAGAUAUCACACAGAACACCGAUUGCGUAGGCAGCUUACUGGAGCGCAACUGACGCUGAGGCACGAAAGCGUGGGGAUCGAACAGGAUUAGAUACCCUUGUAGUCC